rnacentral:sRNA from 1 species
ACACAAGGAAGGAGGUGGUCUGAAGAAUGUUUGACUCUUGGACACGUGAGGUGGCUGCCCGCUAAGGCACCACCGCUGUACGGAUUCCGUUCGGCAUGGCGCUGAUAGCGAAUCCCAGGCAGUCACCCGGCCCCCGAGUCCCCGAUCUUGUCCGAUCGGGACCGAUGUGCCCCGGCACACCGGUACGGCUCGGGGGUCGUUCCAU